UGCACCUAAAAUAAAACAAAACAGAUGAGAGACGUGAGAAGUGAUGCCCCAUUGGAUUCCCAGCAAAAAGGCAGAGGGAUAAAAGUUGAAACUGCAGACUAAUAUAACUGCUAUCUCCAGAGUACUCCAAAUUAAGAUCUCUUCUGUCAGGGAGCAGGACGAUCUGGGCUGCUCCAAGAGGUGGGACAAGCCUGGAGCCAAGGACCACCACAGCACAAGAAGUGCCCUUGCAUGUCUGAGCAGCAUGGACAGAUGCACGUGCUACUAGCAGGAUUUACCGAUAGUCUCAGACAAGAUUUCCCCGGCUGACAAAAACACUGAAACUGAACACAGAGUUACAUAUAAAAACAUCCAACACUUCUAGUUCAGAAUGGGCCAACUUCCUCAGAGAUCUCUGAUGACUCAGCCUCAAGUAAACAGGACUUUUAUCUUUCUAAGGUUUCUCCCUCCAAAGCCGUUUCUUCUAAGAAGAGAAGGUUUGCCACAGUUACUCAACUGGUGGAAAAAAACAAACAAACAAGGAAACAGGAGAGGUCAUAACAUAAACAAACAUAUAUUCUUCCCAUGUGCACAGUGAACUUUUGUAGCCUUACUCUUUGUGUUUAAUUACAAAUGCUGGUAAGAAGAAAACAACACUUGAUAUUUCCACGUGGUAACACUAAUAAAGAAAGCACAAAGUAGCUCAACCUGUGAAAAGACUCCAUGGCUCAGAAUCCAUCUAUUGAGCAAAGGAAAAAAAAUGACUGGAGACCAUGUAGAAGUAGGUUGGAUGACAGCACAUUAAUUUCUUCUGUCUUCAAAGAGUCUUUGCCAAACAGAAAUGAAGGACAACAGUUUCUCAGCAUCUCUUCCAGGAGAAGUGUUUUGCAUAUGCUUCCUCUUUGGAGUAAAACGAGUACUUGCUACAGACUAGGAACAUACUUGUCCUGUUCUUGCUUCUACUUGAGACACAACCUGCUUCUACUUGGAUGUGGGUGUCAGUUAGACGCAAUAAUGAAGUUAAUCAGGUAUAAAUGAAAGGAGAGCCUGGCCCCAAAUACUUUUUUAAAAAGCUCUUUUUCCUUUAAGCCCAGCUUCUUUUCAUUUUCCACUGUAACCAUCUUUUCAUUUGUCUACUGAAUUAACAGCAUAUAAAAGUGGGCACUUGUCUUCGCUGAACACACAAAUAAAACACAGGUAAAAUACGA